UCUAAUAUGGCAGAUAAGUGCACUGGAUUUAAGCUCCAAAAAUAGAGUUAGUCUCUUUUUAGAA
rnacentral:tRNA from 1 species